rnacentral:rRNA from 1 species
GACCCUGUUGAGCUUGACUCUAGUUUGACAUUGUGAAAAGACAUAGGGGGUGUAGAAUAGGUGGGAGCUUCGGCGCCGGUGAAAUACCACUACCCUUAUCGUUUUUUUACUUAAUCAAUGAAGCGGAACUGGUCUUCAUCGACCAUUUUCUUGCAUUAAAGUCCUUCGCGGGCUGAUCCGGGUUGAUGACAUUGUCAGGUGGGGAGUUUGGCUGGGGGGGCACAUCUGUUAAACAAUAAC